UGUCUCAGCCGAUGGGAUCACGCUAUUGGCCGCUUCCACCGGAUCUCCUCCUUAGCCACUGGCUUCUCCUCUCAAACACUGCCAUCCUUCUCUCUGCUCCCCUCAUGCUGUCUUUCUUCCUAACGAAGCCACCACCUCCUCUCUUCUCUUGUUAGCCACACCGCCAGCCACGCCACCUCAAGCAAUGGCAUUCCUUGCCGCCAUCGCCGGGCAACGCCUUCUCGACCAUUGAUCUCCGGACAAAGGCCGAUCUCCCCCUUUCUUCGCUAUGCUUCGCUGCCGGUCAGACUGUUGGUCCUUUUCCCUUCCUGUCAGUCACGCUAGCAACAGAUCUCCGUGCAGACACUACCCGACUAAUGCCAAUCUCAUCGCUUGCCAUUACUGACAUCGAUCUCUGUCAUGGAUCUCCGCACCCCCACCAGCCGAUCUCCAACAAAUCUCUCGCUGUCAUAUGCCUCCGAGCUACUACUGUCGUGCACCCCUUGCGGUGCUCCAUGUAAAUCAAGCCUUUAGGGCACCAUUUCUAAGUCACCCGUAGCCGUCUACGGCCUUGCAAAUCCCAUGAAUUUCCGAUCGCCUCUAUCAAUCGGAUCUGGUGCAUCUUUGUUUGGCUCUACCACCCCAUUGAUCUAGAGCAUUUCCGGUCAGCUCCGCCGACCCUGCUCUCUAGUUGGCCUUGCUAAUCCCAACCCGGCUCCCGGCUCCCGGCUCCCGGCUCCCGACUCCUAGCUCCCUAAUCGGAUACUCCAGAGGUUCAACUCCCGAUCAGAUACUUCAGGGGCCUGCUUACCAAUCAGAUACUCCAAGGGCUCAACUCUUUGACCGAAUCUCUAGCUCAUGUCUGAUCGUCCUUGCCAUUUAGACGCUCUGACUCACCUCCACUAUGACCUGAUGCAUCUCAUAGACCCAGAUAUUCAGAUGCUCUUGUACGUGCACUAACCUGACACAUGGAAUAGUAUGGUGGACGAAGCAUGAUCCCAUGAGAUCUUCUACAUACCAAAUAUGAUUAAUGUGACAUUCUAAUACGAUGAUGGAACAUCUCCCAUACGAGGACAUAACAUCAUGUAAAAAGCGCAUCAUCGCACACCAUCCCCUCUUACAGUCUCGGAUGUGACAUCUCUUUUCAAAUUAUAAAAAAUCCCGCCACGCGUGUCAAGGUACACGCACAUCUACAGAGAUACAUAUUACUUUACUACACUAUUCAUCUUCUCCAUAUCCAUCAUCAGGAUUUGACUUGAACGUCGAAGUGGAAGGCCGAGGCAUCAAAGGACAAGGACUUGAGGUUGAUCAACCAGGAUUGAGCUCAAUUCUGAGAUUAAAUGAGAAGAUCAAGCUUUGGAGCGAUCUGAAUUGUUCAUUCAAAAUCAAGAGCAAUAUGAGUCAUACAUCAAAGAUCUACUCCAUCCAAGCCAAGGGGAAGUAGAUCACAGCCAUCGAACAAGAUCUGGAGCUUUUGAUCUAGAUCUGAAUUGAUCCAACCAUUGAUCAAGAUCCGAAGCAUUCUGGACCGUUCAUUCAGAUCUGGAUCAGAUUUAAAGGGGAGAAGCCACAGUGUUUCGUUCGCUAAAUUUCUACAAGGAUCGCGUCAAAACAGAGGAGGCGGACGAGCUUGCAUUCCCGAUCCACCUUUCACCAUCGACGGUGAACGGAGGUCAAGGGUGCUUCCCUUCCUCCAAUCAUCAUCCACCUAUCACCAGCCGGCGACACCACUUCAUGACUUCAACCUUUUGAUUCAUCACUGAUGGCCAACUCUGUCGCGGCUUCAUGUGAAGAAGAAGCGGAGAAGCGGAGAAGAGGAGAAGCAAGCGGAUUUGAUAUGGUUUCUUCAUCUUUUAGUCGUUGCCAAAUUUCUACAGGGAUCGCAUCAAAACAGAGGAGGCGGAUGAGCUUGCAUUCCCGAUCCACCUUCCUUCGUCAACAGUGAACGGAGGUCAAGGGCGCUUCCCUUCCUCCGAUCAUCAUCCACCUAUCACCAGCCGACGACACCACUUCAACCUUUUGAUUCAUCACUGAUCGCCAACUAUGCUGCAGCUUCAUGUGAAGAAGAAACGGAGAAGAGGAGAAGCAAGCGAAUUUGAUAUGGUUUCUUCGUCUUUCAGCCGAUGAUCUUCUUCCUUGAAACUCCGCACCCAGCUGAACGAUCAGAAGUGUUUGCUUCUGAUCCCUCUGAUUUCUGAAUCGAUUUCUAGCUUCAGCUGUGUCACUGGAUCAGAUCAUCUGAUCUGAUCGGUUCUUCAUCAUCUGCAAGGUCCGGACAUCUUCGUCCAAUUCAGUGAGUGCUUGGGGUUUCCUCCAACUCACCUUGGUUUAUCACUUCUCUCAAAUUUCAUUUAUGCCUUUCUGUCUUUUCCAUUUCCAGCUUCGUUUAGUUGUGUUGCCAGAUUAGUUUCGUAGAUCUGAAUUGUUUGGGUUAUAUGAAGGUUUAGAUUUGUUUCCUUGUUUUCAAUUCA